ACGGGAGGCAGCAGUUAAGAAUAUUCCGCAAUGGGGGGAACCCUGACGGAGCGACGCCGCGUGGACGAUGAAGGCCGGAAGGUUGUAAAGUCCUUUGGAGACUGAGGAAUAAGUGUUGUAGGGAAUGACAGCAUGAUGACUGUAGGUCUAGAACAAGCACCGGCUAAUUACGUGCCAGCAGCCGCGGUAACACGUAAGGUGCUAGCGUUGUUCGGAAUUAUUGGGCGUAAAGGGCAUGUAGGCGGCGAGGCAAGUCAGGCGUGAAAUCCCGGGGCUCAACCCCGGAACUGCGCUUGAUACUGUUUUGCUUGAGUCAGCGAGGGGAGACCGGAAUUCCUGGUGUAGGGGUGAAAUCUGUAGAUAUCAGGAAGAACACCGGUGGCGAAGGCAGGUCUCCAGCGCAUGACUGACGCUGAGGUGCGAGGGUGCGGGGAGCGAACAGGAUUAGAUACCCUGGUA
rnacentral:rRNA from 1 species